rnacentral:rRNA from 1 species
CCUACGGGAGGCAGCAGUGGGGAAUAUUGGACAAUGGGCGAAAGCCUGAUCCAGCCAUGCCGCGUGAGUGAUGAAGGCCUUAGGGUUGUAAAGCUCUUUUGUCAGGGAAGCGGUACCUGAAGAAUAAGCACCGGCUAACUUCGUGCCAGCAGCCGCGGUAAUACGAAGGGUGCUAGCGUUGUUCGGAAUUACUGGGCGUAAAGAGCGCGUAGGCGGUUAUACAAGUCAGGGGUGAAAUCCCGGAGCUUAACUCCGGAACUGCCUUUGAAACUGUAUAGCUGGAGUGUGUGAGGGGAUAGCGGAAUUCCUAAUGUAGAGGUGAAAUUCGUAGAUAUUAGGAGGAACACCGGUGGCGAAGGCGGCUAUCUGGACCAACUGACGCUGAGGCGCGAAAGCGUGGGGAUCAAACAGGAUUAGAUACCCUUGUAGUC